UACGUAGGGUGCAAGCGUUGUCCGGAAUUAUUGGGCGUAAAGAGCGUGUAGGCGGCCCGACCAGUCCGCUGUGAAAGUCCAGGGCUCAACCCUGGAAUGCCGGUGGAUACUGUCGGGCUAGAGUCCGGAAUGGGCGAGUGGAAUUCCUGGUGUAGCGGUGAAAUGCGCAGAUAUCAGGAGGAACACCAAUGGCGAAGGCAGCUCGCUGGGACGUGACUGACGCUGAGACGCGAAAGCCAGGGGAGCGAACGGG
rnacentral:rRNA from 1 species